AUCGCCCCCAGUGGACUGACUGGGAGAUGCAGGCCGCGUGGCAGGGGAUGUGCGCUCCCCGAAGUCUUAUGGGAAGUGUAGUCUUUCUCCCGAGGCCGGGCAGGGGACAGAGAUGCUGUGCUUCCUGGACCACCUGUUUCCCCACGUCCCACCUCCGGCAUUUCUGUAAGGUUGCUCCAGAUGGAAGACUAAUCGCUGCGUGGCUCAGCCCAAAGCAGACAAGAAAAUCUACACUAUGGGAAAGCCACAAGACAACUCCAUCUCUUCAACAAAUUGCAAUCAUGUGAAUUUUUUUUCUAUCAAAGGUAGUUAUCCCAAGGGUAUGUUGUAGAAUAGCAAACAUGUGUUACAUUUGUGUAUACUGUGGAACAUUUGUUUAAUGGUGCAA